GACGAACCGUGCGAACGUUGUUCGGAAUCACUGGGCUUAAAGGGCGCGUAGGCGGGUUUGUCAAGUCUGCGGUGAAAGCCCCCAGCUUAACUGGGGAAGUGCCGUGGAUACUGCGGACCUUGAGGAGGGUAGGGGCAUCUGGAACAUUGGGUGGAGCGGUGAAAUGCGUUGAUAUCCAAUGGAACUCCGGUGGCGAAGGCGAGGUGCUGGACCCUUUCUGACGCUGAGGCGCGAAAGCCAGGGGAGCAAACGGGG
rnacentral:rRNA from 1 species